GAUGAACGCUGGCGGCAGGCUUAACACAUGCAAGUCGAACGCCCCGCAAGGGGAGUGGCAGACGGGUGAGUAACGCGUGGGAAUCUACCCAGAUCUACGGAACAACAGUUGGAAACGACUGCUAAUACCGUAUACGCCCUACGGGGGAAAGAUUUAUCGGAUUUGGAUGAGCCCGCGUUGGAUUAGCUAGUUGGUGGGGUAAUGGCCUACCAAGGCGACGAUCCAUAGCUGGUCUGAGAGGAUGAUCAGCCACACUGGGACUGAGACACGGCCCAGACUCCUACGGGAGGCAGCAGUGGGGAAUAUUGGACAAUGGGCGCAAGCCUGAUCCAGCCAUGCCGCGUGAGUGAUGAAGGCCUUAGGGUUGUAAAGCUCUUUCACCGAUGAAGAUAAUGACGGUAGUCGGAGAAGAAGCCCCGGCUAACUUCGUGCCAGCCGCCGCAGUAAGAC
rnacentral:rRNA from 1 species